rnacentral:rRNA from 1 species
AUGCCGAUAACGGCGGAUCGACAAAAACCAAGAAGCCUCGCGACCGCUGCGUCCACAAGAGAUCGCCCACCAAGCUCCGAGACUUCGAAGCGCCGGUACCAAUCAACACCUCCAAGAAGGAACGCGACGAUGAUGACGCUGCUGCCAAGGGUUUCCCCCGGUACGUGGCGAGGAGUGAGGAAGGGUAGCCCCGAUGCCCUUCAGGAAGGUUUGGCGGCACCCUCAAGCGCCACCGCGUCGGUGUCGGCCAAACCAACAGGGAUUUCUCCCAAUCCCAUCCUCUACCUCAGGCACUUCAGAGUUCGCCACCAAACCGACCACCACCCAGCGCCAAUACGGACACGAAGCUUCCCACGCUGUCUCACCACAGCACCACGAAGAUAG